rnacentral:lncRNA from 1 species
AGAAGGUUCUGUCAUGAAGUCACAGAGGAAGGAGAAAGGGUGGCAGAGUGCUUUCCUGCUCCCCUGAGGCUCAGGGGUCAUGGACGGCAGGGUCAGAGAUCCACUGGGAGCUCACCUCCUGCUUGCCAAGGUCUGUCUUGCUAAUGCCCUGGACAGGUGAAGGGCAGGUGAAGGAGGAGAUGCUGAGGGGAAGUGUUAGGGAGGGAGGGAGAGAAGGAGAGAGGGAGGGAGAGAGGAGAGAGGGAAGGGAGAGGGAGGGAGAGGGAGGGAGGGAAGGAGAGAGGGAAGGAGAGAGGGAGGGAGGGAGAGAGGGAGAGAGGGAGGGAGAGAAGGAGGGAGAGAGGGAGGGAGAGAGAGAGGGAAGGAGAGAGGGAGGGAGGGAGAGAGGGAGAGAGGGAGGGAGAGAAGGAGGGAGAGAGGGAGGGAGAGAGAGAGGGAAGGAGAGAGGGAGGGAGGGAGAGAGGGAGAGAGGGAGGGAGAGAAGGAGGGAGAGAGGGAGGGAGAGAGGGAGGGAGGAAAAGAGGGAGGGAUGGAGGGAAGGAGAGAGGGAGGAGGGAGGGAGAGAGGGAGGAGGGCGGGAGAGAGGGAGGGAGAGAGGGAGGGAUAAAGGGAGGAAGAAGGAAUGGAGGGAAGGAGAGAAGGGGAGGAAGGAGCAGAAGGAGAGAGAGAAGGAAAAGAGGGGAGAAGAAAGGGAGGGAGGGAAGGAGAGAGGGAGGGAGGGAGGGAGGGAGAGAGGGAGGGAGAGAGGGAGGGAGGAAAAGAGGGAGGGAUGGAGGGAAGGAGAGAGGGAGGAGGGAGGGAGAGAGGGAGGAGGAAAGCUUUCCCGUUGUCCCUGCGGUGGACCUCCGCCCUGUGCCCUUGGUAGCCUCCCUCUGAGUGGGCAGGCCAGCCGCCUUCUUAACACUAGUGUCAGCUGUGGCUGAGCCCGGCCAAGGGUGCGGAGAGAAGGAUCUGGGGAGCAGCCGGCAGCUCCCCUCAAGUGGCCUCCUGGGGGGAGUCUCCGGACCACUCCUGGGUCUGCCUCCUGGCACCGCCUUGCAGAGGACACUGGGGGGCUUCACCUCCUGCUCUCCUGGGGCCGAGGGCCUGAAGUCUGAAGGGAGGGGUGGGAGGUCUGCGCCCUCUGAAGGUCCUGGGGGAGCCUCCUGUUCCUCUCAGACUGGGGUGGCCGCUGGCCAUCGCCAACAGCCCAGUGUCUGCACACACGUCACUCUGACCUCUGUCACCAAGGACGUCACCCUGUGCAUCCUCGUCUCUCUAGGUCUAAGUGUCCCUCUUUUUAUAAGGACCCCAGUCAUGGGUCUUAGGGCCACCCUCCUCCAGCAUGAUCUCAUCCUCGUGUGAUGGUGCCUGCAGAGACCCCGUCUCCAUGUAGGGCCACAUUCACAGGAGGAGCUUGAACUUCAGCAUUCCUCCUUGGUGGACAGAAUUCACCCCAUAACGCCCCUCAAACCACGUGGUAUAAAAGCCCCUGGGUGGUACGUCUCAACUCUGCGUGAUGUGGGGUGACCGGUGGGGGUGUGCAAUGACAGCGGAUCCCACCCCCUAGAUUAGGUCCACCCACCAGACAAGUCAUGGUGCAGCCCCCCUUGCAGACUACGGGGCCAGGACUCAAAAGGAGGACUUGGAAAAGCAGCUGAAGAGGGAGGAGGAAGGAAUCCACCUGCAGCAGCGCUCCUCCAAGGUCACGGCCCAGACUUGCCAGGAAGCUCUUUCUGCCACAGCUCGGCCAGUCUGUGGUGAGGAGCUCAGCCCUGGCUCCGAAGCACGCCCUUCCCUCCUGCAGGCUGGUCACUGCUCCUUGCUGGGUUGGGCUGGUGGGAGGCACUGGCCCCCAGAACUGAUUGAAAGGUUAGGUGAAGCAUAAUAGAUCACCAACAUCUGACCAUUUUUUUUUUAACUGCAAAGACAAUUCCAAAUCAACUUUGAGUAGUUUUCUGCUGGUUGGAUUUUAACUGAUAACUGAUUGAACCUUGCUGAGGAGCAGCCAGGCGGGAGGAGAGCCAGCAGGGGGGCGCUUCCCAAGCAGAAGCUGUGAAAAGGACCCUUUUUUUUUAGUUCAGCAAGUGCUAAUUUGUUGAUCAGAUCCUUUCACCCCCUCCAAAACAAAUCAGCUUCAUUUAAACUGUGCUCAGAAAAGAAACGGUUGCUCUCAGGAGCAGUAUGUUAUUACAAAAGUAAAGGAAAUACUAGUUUGAUCUAUAAUAAUUUUCUCUUUUUAAAAUAUUUUUUAGUUGUUGAUGUACCUUUAUUUUUUAUUUACUUACAUGUGGUGCUGAGGAUCGAACCCAGUUCUCCACACAUGCUAGGCAAGCACUCUGCCACUGACCCCCAGCCCCAGCCACUAUAAUAAUUUUCAAUAACAGUUUUUAAUCAAUAAUCCCUAGAAGUAAAAUACAAGGGAGGUUUAAGCUGGUGCAAACUUGUAAUAUCAUUUUUAUUUUAAAUACCAAGAUUUAACUUCAAAAUUGUCUCUUUCCCUGGAUUAACAUCCAGGGAUCAGGAACCUCUUUGUUAUGAGUUCUUCAGAGCAUUUUUUUAUCUAUUCAGACUGAACCUCACAGACUGGGAACUCACCCUUCUGUGGACAUCCAUCUUAAUCUGAAAAGCUGACUCUGACCCCUUUGAGCCCUGCCAUGACCUGAGUGGAGAUUCUACCCGUCACCCCACAUAACAGGCCAAAGUCAAAAUGCAGGAACAACAGAAAUACUGCAUAAAAUCACCUUUGGGCCUGUGUGUGGGACUCAUACCAAAGAAAUAUGAAUUUCAGGCUUAGCCUGGGUCCCCUCUCCAAGCUGUCUAGUUGUGCCUGUAAAUAUUCCAAAAUCUGAAACAUCUGAAAUCUGAAGCACUUCCGGUCCCCAGCAUUUUAGAUAAGACGCUCAGCUGCGCGGUAAUUUCACUUACGUUGACAACUCACCUUACUCAUCAGUUUGACCCUAACUGAAGUCUGGUUGUCUGGGAAAGUUGAGUCACCCGUAGGUGGGAUCCGCUGUCACCUUUUGUAUUCCAAGCAAGGCCACAGAAAAGGUGUUUGAGCUGUGUUUUAACCCACCUUAGGAGUGUGCAAUCCUACAAGACACUAGUUAAUUUUUUAUAAGUGUUCAUUUUAAUACAUUUGUGUGUUUUAAAAGUAUUUUUAUUUUAUAAUUCCAACUGUCAACUAUCUGUGAUAAAAAAAAAAAAAACAAAGGAAAAUAAAACUGAUUUAGGCAAAGCAGUGUGGGAGGGACAGAGUCCUGCUCCAGCCCAACUUCAGAGGAACCCAAAGCCACGAGUACCACCAGGGUCCUACAAGGUCCCCAAUGCACCCAACAACUCUGUAAACUGCCAUAUAGAGUUUAUUCUGUGGCUCCUCAAUGUACCAGGGGCCUGAGGAGCUGCCUGGCCACAUCGUGCUGAGGAGCUCCUGACCCCUUGGAAUCUCCACCUUUGAUGUCCUUGCUCAGAUCAGCUGUGGGAAGCAGAGCAGGAGCCUGGGAAAGGGGCUCGGGAAAGACACACUUUCAUGUACUGAGCGGCUGCACAAGCACAGGACCGGGAGCAUUAGGCUGAGCGUCCGGCUGAUCACCGCCCCUCACCCCCAGCCACACCAUCCUGAAAAUGGCACCUCGGUUCCACCAGUUGCUCAUGGAAACCUUGGAGUCCACCUUGAGUCUUCCCUUCCUCUCCCUUCCACAUCCAAUCCAGCAGCAGAUGCAAUUGACACUUCCUUUAAAAUAUACCAGAACCCCAAAAUACAGCGCAUCCCCACCACGCUGCUUCAGGCCGCAGCCUCCCUGACCUUGACUUAGGUUUCACCUGCUGCCUGGCCCUCCGGCUUCUCCACUGACCAGCCGCAGCCCAUUUUCUAGACUGUCCCCAACAAGCCAGGCUUGUUCACCACACCACAGUGACUCCUCGAUCACUCAGGAUAGGAGUCUUUACGGUGGCUCUGUGCCUUAUGUGGCCCAGAGUCCACCCCUCACCCUCUUGACAUCAGUUCGUACCAGUUACCCUUGCCGGUUCCUCUCCAGUGGCGCUGGCCGUGCAAACAGCCACCAUCGUGCCCAGUCCCCGUCCCCAGGUGUUGGAUCCGUGUUUCCACUUCAGUGAUGAAAGUUCCCACUUUACUGAGCAUGUGCUGCAUGUGGAUCGCUUAGAACUCAGGGCCUGUGACCGUCCUCAGUGAGGGAGGAUGGAAGGGAUUUUAAAAAUAAGUGAAAGGAGACAUAAGGAAGAACAGGAAAUAAGAUUUGAUUCAGAAGUGCCACGUACUUAUCCAGGCCCGCCGUUCCCGGGGCCAGGCUUCCCAGGCCUGUCGCUCCAGAUUUCUGGGAGAUCUGUAAAUCUGCCCUGUGUACCAUUAAGUAGCCCACCAACAAAGAGAUUAAGCAGAGAGAGAGACGGUAUCUUGAGAAACCAGUCAGGGAGUUGUCGAGUGCUACCUGUGGAUCAGAUAAUGAAGACCACGUCAGCCUGAGGAUCCUGAGAUUGGCAGACCACCAGGAACCAUCCUGGGAUGCCACACGGACGUCAUCCCCACAGACCUACCCCCACCCCUCACCAAGUCUCCUUUAACAGCAUUAGGAACCCUGAGAAUGCAUCCCUUGCUCUGGAAAUGGUCCACUUCUGUCCUUGAACGUGUAUUCCUUGCUUUCCUAAACUAAUCUCUGUGCCUCUGCUAACUUGUGCUGCAAUUCUUUUCUGUUCUGUAUGUCCAGGACCUCACUGGCCCAAAGUUGAGUCAGAGGGCACGCAUACGGCUGAUUAGGGGUUUGAUUCUGCUUCUGCCUGAUGAUUCUGAAGGGUCUGGCUGAAGUUCACUCCAGCUAUGGGUGGAUAAGGCCCCAGCGCUCCAUUGCUGGAGAAUAUUGGUUCUGCUGUGUUGCCCUCCCCCCUUCAAUAUUCUCCAAUCCUGAUUUUACAGAUGAGAAAAUAAGGCCCAGAUCAGCUGGGUGACCUGCCCAAGAUCAGUGACAAAACCAGGCAGAGAUGGCAACACGGGAGGAUGCUCACCACCUGACCACCAGCCAGCAGAGAUACCCCAGCCUGGGACGUCCCUCUGCACCCCCAGAACCUCUUCCAGCCCCUGGCCACCCACAGACUCUCCUGCAAAGCCAGCAGCAUACUAUGUCUUCAGUGAUUCAGAAACUUCACGUCCUGGAACCUGGGGAGCAUUUCCAAACCAUGGUCAAGUUACGAUCGCUCUCACCCACACAGGCACCAAAUGACCCGUGGCAUGAAGGAUUUGCUAUCCACUGCACAGCAGAUCCAACAUCAAUAGAAAGCCCUGGCCUCAAGGGGCUCCAAGGAAAGCCUCUGUUUUUAAAUAUAAA